UCAAUAAUCUCCAAAAUUAUAAUUUUUUAUUAAACUAUUCUUUGAUAUAACAAAAAUAUUUCUAUCU
rnacentral:tRNA from 1 species